rnacentral:rRNA from 1 species
GAAGUGUGGACGCCAGUCUGCAUGGAGCCGACCUUGAAAUACCACCCUUUAAUGUUUGAUGUUCUAACGUUGACCCGUAAUCCGGGUUGCGGACAGUGUCUGGUGGGUAGUUUGACUGGGGCGGUCUCCUCCUAAAGAGUAACGGAGGAGCACGAAGGUUGGCUAAUCCUGGUCGGACAUCAGGAGGUUAGUGCAAUGGCAUAAGCCAGCUUGACUGCGAGCGUGACGGCGCGAGCAGGUGCGAAAGCAGGUCAUAGUGAUCCGGUGGUUCUGAAUGGAAGGGCCAUCGCUCAACGGAUAAAAGGUACUCCGGGGAUAACAGGCUGAUACCGCCCAAGAGUUCAUAUCGACGGCGGUGUUUGGCACCUCGAUGUCGGCUCAUCACAUCCUGGGGCUGAAGUAGGUCCCAAGGGUAUGGCUGUUCGCCAUUUAAAGUGGUACGCGAGCUGGGUUUAGAACGUCGUGAGACAGUUCGGUCCCUAUCUGCCGUGGGCGCUGGAGAACUGAGGGGGGCUGCUCCUAGUACGAGAGGACCGGAGUGGACGCAUCACUGGUGUUCGGGUUGUCAUGCCAAUGGCACUGCCCGGUAGCUAAAUGCGGAAGAGAUAAGUGCUGAAAGCAUCUAAGCACGAAACUUGCCCCGAGAUGAGUUCUCCCUGACUCCUUGAGAGUCCUGAAGGAACGUUGAAGACGACGACGUUGAUAGGCCGGGUGUGUAAGCGCAGCGAUGCGUUGAGCUAACCGGUACUAAUGAACCGUGAGGCUUAACCUUACAACGCC